rnacentral:misc_RNA from 1 species
GAUGAAGAACGCAGCGAAAUGCGAUAAGUAGUGUGAAUUGCAGAAUUCAGUGAAUCAUCGAGUCUUUGAACGCACAUUGCGCCCCCUGGUAUUCCGGGGGGCAUGCCUGUCCGAGCGUCAUUGCUGCCCUCAAGCACGGCUUGUGUGUUGGGCCUCCGUCCUCCUCCCGGGGGACGGGCCCGAAAGGCAGCGGCGGCACCGCGUCCGGUCCUCGAGCGUAUGGGGCUUCGUCACCCGCUCUUGUAGGCCCGGCCGGCGCUUGCCGACACAUCAAUCUUUUUUCCAGGUUGACCUCGGAUCAGGUAGGGAUACCCGCUGAACUUAAGCAUAUCAAUAAGCGGAAGA